rnacentral:rRNA from 1 species
AGCGAACGCUGGCGGCAGGCCUAACACAUGCAAGUCGAACGAACCUUUCGGGGUUAGUGGCGGACGGGUGAGUAACACGUGGGAACGUGCCUUUAGGUUCGGAAUAACUCAGGGAAACUUGUGCUAAUACCGAAUGUGCCCUUCGGGGGAAAGAUUAAUCGCCUUUAGAGCGGCCCGUGUCUGAUUAGCUAGUUGGUUGAGGUAAUGGCUCACCAAGGCGACGAUCAGUAGCUGGUCUGAGAGGAUGAUCAGCCACAUUGGGACUGAGACACGGCCCAAACUCCUACGGGAGGCAGCAGUGGGGAAUCUUGCGCAAUGGGCGAAAGCCUGACGCAGCCAUGCCGCGUGAAUGAUGAAGGUCUUAGGAUUGUAAAAUUCUUUCACCGGGGACGAUAAUGACGGUACCCGGAGAAGAAGCCCCGGCUAACUUCGUG